rnacentral:tRNA from 1 species
GGGCCCGUCGCCUAGUCAGGACAGGGUGCUGGCCUCCGAAGCCAGUUGUCGUGGGAUCGAAGCCCACCGGGCCCG